rnacentral:misc_RNA from 1 species
UUUCCGUAGGUGAACCUGCGGAAGGAUCAUUACCGGGAUAUUGAUUUUUUUGUUGUAAAAAGCAAAAAGAUUAUUCCUAUGACCCUUUUUUGUUUAUUCAAAAAAAUGUUAUUUCUUCGGUGAGACGUCUUUUUUGAUCAAAUCAAAAAGCUAUUGAUAUUUUGUUUUACUCAAAACAAAUAUGAAUAUGUUGCUUACCGAAGUACAAACUCUUUUUUUCUGUUAGUCUGAGUAUACAAACAAAUAAAUUAAAACUUUCAACAACGGAUCUCUUGGUUCUGGCAUCGAUGAAGAACGCAGC